rnacentral:tRNA from 1 species
GGGCCCGAAGUUUACCUGGUUGAACGUCGCAUUUGCAAUGCGAAGGCAGGCAGUUCGACUCUGCCCGGGUCCA